ACCUAUAUCGAACAUGGUUGUUGCCUUUUACCACAACCAUCCGGGUAUUGUCU
rnacentral:snRNA from 1 species